AACGAACGCUGGCGGCAGGCUUAACACAUGCAAGUCGAACGCCUGGAGCAAUCCAGGAGUGGCAGACGGGUGAGUAACACGUGGGAACAUACCCUUUGGUACGGAACAACUCGGGGAAACUCGAGCUAAUACCGUAUAAGGCCGAGAGGCGAAAGAUUGAUCGCCGAAGGAUUGGCCCGCGUCCGAUUAGCUAGUUGGUGAGGUAAUGGCUCACCAAGGCGACGAUCGGUAGCUGGCUGAGAGGAUGGCCAGCCACAUUGGGACUGAGACACGGCCCAAACUCCUACGGGAGGCAGCAGUGGGGAAUAUUGGACAAUGGGCGCAAGCCUGAUCCAGCCAUGCCGCGUGAGUGAUGAAGGCCUUAGGGUUGUAAAGCUCUUUCAUCAGGGACGAUAAUGACGGUACCUGAAGAAGAAGCCCCGGCUAACUUCGUGCCA
rnacentral:rRNA from 1 species